UACAGAGGUCCCGAGCGUUGUUCGGAUUCAUUGGGCGUAAAGGGUGCGUAGGUGGCGCUGUAAGUGGGGUGUGAAAUCCCGGGGCUUAACCCCGGGACUGCAUUCCAUACUGCGGUGCUUGAGGACUGGAGAGGAGACUGGAAUUUACGGUGUAGCAGUGAAAUGCGUAGAGAUCGUAAGGAAGACCAGUGGCGAAGGCGGGUCUCUGGACAGUUCCUGACACUGAGGAGCGAAAGUGUGGGGAGCGAACAGG
rnacentral:rRNA from 1 species